GCUACCAGAACAGGUAUAGCGAGGGACAACUAUUGCCCGGGUCCUUCCGCUAUUACUUCUUGUUUGUUGCCUCUGCUCGUAGUUUAAGGACUGUGAUACGGAAUAUCUGGUGUAAUUCCUGGCCUUUCCAGUUUAUGUGGGUACUUGAUAAACGAAGAUAUUUGCAUCUUUGCACAUUGCUGUUCAGCCGCUGUUCUUUGUAGUUUUAAUUUCUAUGCUGCUAUUUUGUUUUUAGAUAUAUUGUGAUACUGACAUAUUUUGCUAAUCAGUUGUGUGUUUUUAACAGAACCCUUUCCCUGUGUCUACCAAGGUUUCUAUUGAGCUGGUUAGCUAAGUCUUUUUUUCUUUCUUGUUUUUACUGUGUAUUUGCCCUUUUUCUACAGAUGUCCAAAUACUCUGCACCAACCUAUACCUUUGAGGACUGGGGUAAUAGUACAUUGGAGCUUUAGACUAAGAUUUCAUAUAUUUGCUGUGUUUCCACUACUUGUGUGUGUAUAUGGCUUGGAUCUGCAGUGAUCUUUAAUAUUUGGUGUGUAAGGCUUUCACCCUUGUUUACCCAUUCACAGUGAUCUUAUUCCCUUUCGGGCAGGCUCCAUGUGUAUUUCCCCUAGUGGCCUGUCACGGUUACAGUUAUGCAUGAGGAUUGGGAUAGCCAGUAGGAGGUUGUUGUUUUUUGCUUUUUUUUUUUUUUUUUACAAAUAAAUGCUAUGUAUUGUUCUCCACUGAUUGUACUAAAA